rnacentral:rRNA from 1 species
AUGCUCUGCUUCUCCUUGAGUGCCGAUGCUCUGCUUCUCCUUCACCGCCAUUGCUCGGCCCUCGCUCCUCCUUCUCUGCCGCGACCAAGGCUCGAUCUUCUCAUGCAAAUCCUCAGGAUGAAGGUCCUCUUCUUCUUUCUGCUCCUCCUCGCGGCUGGACACCGAUGUGCGGCCGUGGCCAGUUCAGAGGAUGCGGCAUACAUGCAUCUUCUGGCGGCGGCGACGGGGGCUGACGGCACGCUCGGCUGGAAGGCCGGGACCGACCCUUGCGACGGCGGAUGGGCGGGGGUCCGGUGCGAGCUCGGCAGGGUGACCGGCAUUUCCGUGAGAGCCAAAGGGCUCGCCGGCUCGGUGCCCGACGCGGCCAAUGGCUCCCUCUCGGCCCUCGAAGAUCUCGACCUCGGCAACAACAAGGUCUCCGGCCGCCUUCCAAUCUUGCUGCUGCCUCAGCUGACAUACCUUUGGCUUGACGGCAACCUCUUCACGAGCAUGCCGGAGACAUUCUUCAGCGGCAUGCCGCUUCUUCAGGUGUUCAACCUGACCGACAACCCCAUCGCUGAUCUCCGUUCGCUGAGAACACCGCCGGACAUGAGAGGCGGCGUGAUCACAAAGCUUGACCUCAGCAAAAAACUAUUCAGCGGGCCGAUAAGCUUCAUCUCCGGCGUUGCGUCAUCAAUUCAACACCUCAAGCUCAGCCACAAUGAGUUCUCCGGCGAGCUGCCCGACUUCACCGACUUCGCGUGGCUGGGCCUCCUCUCCUUGGACCACAACAAAAUCACCGGCGUGGUUCCUGCAUCGCUUCCCCAGCUCUCGAGGAUCACCGCCAUCAACCUGGCUGGAAACCUGCUGCAGGGGCCGCUGCCGGAGUUCGGCAAGUAUGUGGUCACCGACCUUGCGGAAGCGGCGGCCGGAGGAAGUUUCUGCCGCCUCGACCGGGGACCGUGCGAUCCGGAGGUGACGGCUCUUCUAUCCAUCGCUGGCGCGCUGGGCUUCCCGCUGAUCAUCGCCCGGAGCUGGCUGAGGAACGACGCGUGCGCCGGCUGGAUUGGAGUGCACUGCGACAGCCAACGCAGAGUCACCGGUAUCAACCUGUCCCGGCUCGGGCUCAACGGCAGCUUGAGCUCGGCGUUCGGCUCACUGCUUUGGCUUCAAGUGAUCAGCAUGUCAGGCAAUAACCUCCGAGGAGAGAUCCCGGAGUCGGUGGCGCGGCUGCCGUCUCUGCGCGUUCUCGAUGUUGCCGACAACGAGCUCGAAGGCACGGUGCCAACGUUGAGCAGCAGUGUUGCCAUGUGGGCUGAAGGCAACCCCGAGCUGAAGCUCUCCGGCAGCUCCGUCUCCACGCCGAGCAUCUCCGGCGUCUUCGUCUCUACUAUGGUAGCUCUACUUGCAUCGUUCGCCGUCUUCCUUGUCUAG